UACGAAGGGUGCAAGCGUUACUCGGAAUUACUGGGCGUAAAGCGUGCGUAGACGGUUGCGUAAGUCAGAUGUGAAAGCCCCGGGCUCAACCUGGGAAUUGCAUUUGAGACUGCGUAGCUAGGGUGCGGAAGAGGGAAGCGGAAUUUCCGGUGUAGCGGUGAAAUGCGUAGAUAUCGGAAGGAACACCAGUGGCGAAAGCGGCUUCCUGGUCCAGCACCGACGUUCAGGCACGAAAGCGUGGGGAGCAAACAGG
rnacentral:rRNA from 1 species